GACGAACGCUGGCGGCGUGCUUAACACAUGCAAGUCGAACGGAAAGGCCCUGCUUUUGUGGGGUGCUCGAGUGGCGAACGGGUGAGUAACACGUGAGUAACCUGCCCUUGACUUUGGGAUAACUUCAGGAAACUGGGGCUAAUACCGGAUAGGGGCUCCUGCUGCAUGGUGGGGGUUGGAAAGUUUCGGCGGUUGGGGAUGGACUCGCGGCUUAUCAGCUUGUUGGUGGGGUAGUGGCUUACCAAGGCUUUGACGGGUAGCCGGCCUGAGAGGGUGACCGGCCACAUUGGGGCUGAGAUACGGCCCAGACUCCUACGGGAGGCAGCAGUGGGGAAUAUUGCACAAUGGGCGGAAGCCUGAUGCAGCAACGCCGCGUGCGGGAUGACGGCCUUCGGGUUGUAAACCGCUUUCGCCUGUGACGAAGCGUGAGUGACGGUAAUGGGUAAAGAAGCACCGGCUAACUACGUG
rnacentral:rRNA from 1 species